rnacentral:rRNA from 1 species
GACGAACGCUGGCGGCGUGCUUAACACAUGCAAGUCGAACGGAGUGGCGAACGGGUGAGUAAAACGUGAGUAACCUGCCCUUGACUUCAGGAUAACUUCAGGAACCUGGGGCUAAUACCGGAUAUUUUGGGCUGGACUCGCGGCUUAUCAUCUUGUGUGUGGGGUAUUGGCUUCCCAAGGCAACGAUACAUAGCCGACCUGAGAGGGUGAUCGGCCACACUGGGAUGGAGACAAGGCCCAGACUCCUACGGGAGGCAGCAGUGGGGGAUAGUGCACAAUGGGGGAAAGCCUGAUGCAGCGACGCCGCGUGGGGGAUGAAGGCCUUCGGGUUGUAAACUCCUUUCGACAGGGACGCGGUACCUGUAUAAGAAGCACCGGCUAACUACGUGCCAGCAGCCGCGGUAAUAC